UACGGGGGGUGCGAGCGUUGUCCGGAAUCACUGGGCGUAAGGGCGCGUAGGUGGCGUCGUAAGUUUGUGGUGAAAGCCUGGGGCUCAACCCCAGGUCUGCCGCGAAUACUGCGAGGCUUGAGUACUGUAGAGGCAGGUAGAAUAUCGGGUGUAGCGGUGGAAUGCGUAGAGAUCCGAUAGAAGACCGGUGGCGAAGGCGGCCUGCUGGGCAGUAACUGACACUGAGGCGCGAAAGCGUGGGGAGCAAACGGG
rnacentral:rRNA from 1 species